CAGAAACUACAAAGGAAGUUGACGGGGCCCGCGACAAGCGGUGGAGUAUGUGGUUUAAUUCGAUGCAACGCGAAGAACCUUACCUGGUCUUGACAUCCCGGAGACCCUUAGGAAACUAGGGGGUGCUUCCAUCUGGAAGAAUCUGGAGACAGGUGCUGCAUGGCUGUCGUCAGCUCGUGUCGUGAGAUGUUGGGUUAAGUCCCGCAACGAGCGCAACCCUUGCCUUUAGUUGCCAGCAGUUCGGCUGGGCACUCUAAAGGGACUGCCGGUGUUAAACCGGAGGAAGGUGGGGAUGACGUCAAGUCCUCAUGGCCUUUAUGACCAGGGCUACACACGUACUACAAUGGCCGAUACAAAGGGCAGCGACACUGCGAGGUGAAGCCAAUCCCGUAAAAUCGGUCUCAGUCCGGAUUGAAGUCUGCAACUCGACUCCAUGAAGUUGGAAUCGCUAGUAAUCGUGGAUCAGCAUGCCACGGUGAAUACGUUCCCGGGCCUU
rnacentral:rRNA from 1 species